rnacentral:miRNA from 10 species
CUUACUUUGAGCAUUCCAGUAACUGCUUUUGUGAAUGUUCUUAGCCGUACCACAAGUAGUUGGCUUGUAUGAGAUGGUGAAAAA